UACGGAAGGUGCAAGCGUUGUUCGGAAUGACUGGGCGUAAAGCGCGCGUAGGCGGGUUUGUGUGUCGAAUGUGAAAGCCCAGGGCUCAACCCUGGAAUGGCAUUCGAAACUGCAGAUCUUGAAUAUUUGAGAGGUUAGUAGAAUUCCUGGUGUAGGAGUGAAAUCCGUAGAUAUCAGGAGGAAUACCGGCGGCGAAGGCGGCUAACCGGCAAUAUAUUGACGCUGAGGUGCGAAAGCGUGGGGAGCAAACAGG
rnacentral:rRNA from 1 species